AGAUUCCAUCAUUCUUUUUUUUAAUGUUGGAAAUGCUUCACUAAUUAACUGGGGCUUCAAGCGACCGCCUGUCUUCUCCUUGACAGCCCAAGUCACGGAAAGGAGACAAACACAGAGUAGGUCCUACCUGGAGUCUGCCUUGUGGCUGUCUGAGCUGACACAGAAUGACCAAGUUUGGAUACACAUAUUUAAAAUAUCUCUUCCAUCUCCCCCUCCUUUUGUGAAAGAUAGCUGUAUGCAUUUGGCCCAAGGCCUGUUACAGUUUUUCUGGAGGCAGCCAGACUUGGAACAUUCAAGAACACAGACGUAGGAACUGCAUAAAAAGGAGGAGCUCUCCCACCCUCGUCGGAGUGAACCGCUUGCCGUCUGACAGCAAACCUUUUGGGAAACAGCCAGCCUUGUCACCGUGCUUGAAGGCUUUUCAGGGCAUAGAGAGGACACGGUGCGGCUUGGCAGGCGCGUUCCGACUCCGGUCUGGUGUAGGGGUUGCACUCAGUCUCUCUGGCUGUUUUGUGUGUUCCCGUCUGACAGCUCACACUUCUCCGCCGUGUGCCUUGGCCGCAGGACACAGAGCACUAAGAAGAAAGACUGUGUGUUACCCAAGGCCCCGAGGGUGGAAUCCACCCGGCCAGGUAACAACUAUCCUGACGGAAGGAGUCGUCCCUCCCCGUCCCCAAGCUCCCCUCUGAAAAACCAAACCUGUGCAGACAAACGCAACCAACACGCCGGUGUCAGCCACGUGGCCCAAGGUAAGGAAGCAGUCGUAGAGGAGAAGCAUUGCUCACCUGACUCCAGGCGCCAGCUUUCCAUUUGGGGCAUCUUCCUCCUCUGCACUUUCUGUGCCCACUUGGCUUAGCAAGGUGUUUACAGUAAUCACUCUCUAAAUGGUUUCCAUCUUUUGCCAUGCAGUAAACAUUUCGUUGUUUAUGCCCUCGACCACAAGAGACAGAACACUGAAAUAUAAAGCAAUGGCAAGGUUGUUGUUGUGUUUUUUUUUUUUAAAUCACAUGGAGUUUGAUAAAAACCCGUGUCGUGAGAUGUUAAGAUCAUACCUGACAAGAGUCACCAUCUCCCCCCUUUUCCAACACCGUUUAAGGUAAUAUCUCAACGCUCUACACGGCAAGAAGAUAGCAUUCGGGGAAAAAAAAAUGUCCAUAGUAUUUCAGCAGCAAUCCUGCCUAGUAUUUUGGGUUCUUCAGGAGUGUGGGUAAAUCCUGACAAUCUUGGCCAAAAAAUAAAGCCAAUGAACCUGAAAUUACCAUGACAUCCUGAGUUUCUAAAAAAUCUUCCUAUGAAUUAGAAAGGAUGCCUUUCGCACAACUCACUCGAUGCAGGAUCGGGAUACUUCUUCAACCAAAUGCCUUGCGAUUCACUGAUUUGGAUAAAUGUGCAUUUCCAAAAUACAACUGUGUCCAAUUUCCUAAUGAAACGAUUUAAGGAAACUCUCCUACCAUUUUUCCGAGGAUAAACUCUCAUUUUCCCAGUCCGUCGGGAAGGAGGUGAAAAAGCCACAUUAGAAACCGAAAGGUAAGCUGGCAGGUAAGUCUGUGCCAAUUCUGGGAGGGGGGCAUUACCUUUCAACUUUGAUCUGCAAGUUCACUGAACUGUUUUAAAUGUGACCUUGUCUGACCACAUCUAAGGAACUUGACUUUGAUUUCAGAUUAGGUUUCUCAGAAAGGUCUAGGAAUCAAAGCGCCCAUGGAGUCAGGACAAAAAUUUGAUAUGACAGCUUCUUGUGGAACAGGCAAGAGGCUGGCCCCAAUGAGUGCACUGAGAUAUUCAACGUCCAUUGCCUCAUUAGCGAUUACAGAAGUCAUUACCACUUGGAUCAUAAGCUUGCUGGCUCAGAUUUUCAAGACACAUUACUUCCCAAUAUAACGUUCUUGACUUUUAGAGGGAAAUGAGUUUAAGAAUGAAGAACAAAACGGGAAACUGCAAUGGGAAUAGAUUUCGUGUCAUCGCCCCCUAUUCAAUAGUUCUUACUGCCCUCACUAACUUUGUGAUUUUGUUAACUUAAAUUACCAAAGUGCCCUUUCAUGCCUAAUAGAUAAAUAGCAUCACGUAAAACACGUAGCCUAGUAUUAAUUCAACCGCUGUUACCAAGCAUGUCCAAAGUUAUAUCAUUCAUAAAUGUGCCAGACCUCUUUCUCUGGUAAACACAAAUCAUUGUAAAGAUUUCAAUAGUAGCGAAUAGAUUGUUUUGAAAUAUGUAUAUUAAUAGGUUUGGCCCUGACUUUUUACUUUAGGAAAGGGAAACAUUGCUGGUUUCGUUUGGGCUUCAUCUUAUGACAGUAUUAUGAUUUGGAGAGGUCAUUCUGGAAAUCUUAACAGAGCAUACAGUGAGGAAGAAAGGAGCCCAAUUUGAAUAUUCAGAUCAAAACAAAAAUACCCAUCUUUCAACCUAUGGUGCUUUGACAUAAAUAAAGACUUGGGACAUAAUUCUGGAAGGUUUUUAAAAUGAAGCUCCUAGAAAUAUUCCUACAAACCACCGGUCUAAUGACUUGCAUACGGAAUAAUCUCUAUUGUUAGUGACUAAUUUUGGUCCUUAGAAACUUUCCUUGGACGAAUAAAUAACAAAGGGGCACAAGUGGGAUUUGGGAUGAGUUCCUCUGUGUUUAUUCAACAAACAUGUGAGCAACUACUAAGUUUCAAAAAUUAUGCGAAGGGCUGGAAAUAUAGUGAUGAAUGAAGUUGACUACUCCCCGCCCGCACGGAGCUUACAGGCCAGUGUUAAUCAAAACACUGCAAUGGUGACAAAAAACAAAUGCAUGCUUAUUAACAGAAAUGAGUGCUCUGAAGGACACAGGCUGCCAUGGGUACAAGAGGGCUCCUGAGGCUUCCCCCAGGGCCAGACCGUGCAGAGCUCAUAGGUCGUCAUAAUGCAUUUGGAUUUGGAAAAAUCACAGAAGAGUUUUAAAUCAGGGCAAAACACGGUCUCAUUUUUGCUUCAGAAAUUCUACCCUGGCUACUGAGAGGACAGUGGAUGAGCAUACAGCAUGAAGGGAAAUAGUAAAACUGCUCAGGAAGAGUUAGUGCACCGGUCCAGGCAAGAGGUGAUGGUGACACUAAAUAGGGUGCAGAGGUAUUGGGGUGGGGGAAGUCGGUGGACUUAUGACCUAUUUUUUUUUAAGGUAGAAAUGACAGUUUGUGGUGGAUCAGCCAUGGGAUGCAGGGCAGAAGGCAGACUCAGGAGGGACUCCUAGGUUUGCAGUAUGGGCAACCGGACAGUGAUGACGUUUACAGGCAUGGGAAAACAGCCCCGGGCGUCAAGGAUGUAUUUAUCUGUAGGAAAAAGACUGAACUUGAAAGAUACAGAUUCCUGGGUGGGAAAAUGUGUUUAAUGAAGAAAGAGGCAUAAUGGUGAUGAACAUGGAUGAACUUAAAACAAAUCCACCUAUAGGGAUAAUCAUUUCAACAUACAAGUCAUCCAAGCAAGCUGUCCUUUACUAUGAAGUGUGUGUGUGUGGGGGGAAGAAAGUUGAUGAAAAUGCUAAUUCAGUAAUCUGCAUGGCAUCGGAGGGACAGUCUAAAAGUAGACAGCAACCUACAGAGGCAGAAUGAGAAAAGGCACAGUAUUCUAGCGUUCAUUUAUGUGCCACCCACUCCUCUAAGACCGUGCGUGCAACAUCUCAUUUAAUCAUCCUAACAACCAUUGAGAUAGGUACUGUUAUUGGAGAUAACUAGUGUUUCCAACCUGGUGUAAGUAACCACAAAGCUUUCUAGAUACCUCUCCCCACAUGAUUCCAACACAGAUAGACAGAUGUCUGUUGAGGGCAAAGCCAACACAAGGGAAACAGUUAAAUUAUCACUAACAUCACUGAUACUAAUUCAUCUGAGGGGCACUACUGGUGUGACCCAUGCCUACUGCCCUUCAAAUGAAAGGGAACAAAGGAGUUCCCAAAUACGAUGCCUUAAACAUCCUGUUAACAUCUAGAUUAGCUACAUCCCACCCAUUCCUACGUGCGUUUUUCUUAUCUGGGGAUUUGAAUGGAACCGAUUUGGAAAAAAAGAAUGCAAUAGUUCAGCAUGACUCACAUAUUAUUUGCCUAAAAUGAAGAUCUAAGAGUGAUAAGGACAUUCUCGAGGUAACUAAUCAGAAAGAAAAAAAACCAACAACACUUUUCAUCUCAUGCUUUCUAACUUACCAGUGAAGAAAAGAAGCUGCUUAUGGAAAUUUUCAUAUCUAACAGGUUCAUGAGCGGGUCUAUUAUGAUUUCUCUAAAGAAGCUGUCAUUUUGAUAAUCAAAUAAACAAACGUUUCAGCUCUUCUACUCUGAGGGAAAUUUCCAUCUGAUCAUUUCCAGUCCUUUUCUAGACGCUGACUUUUGAGUCGAUGUGCAUCACUGAGAUUUAAGAGUAAAGUUCAGCGCAUCACCUACUAUGUGCUAUCUGUGGGCUACAUGUCUCAGGGUUCUUGCUCUGGGGAAUGUUUAAGUCCUUAAAUGGGCAGUGGAUAUAGCCUCCUAAAUUGCCAGUUGGAGUCCCACGUUUGCUCCUCUGGAGAAACAACCGAACAUGUUACGAGCAUGCUUUCUCCCCAGCUUUGCACAACACUCCCAAACAAUGGUAUAGUCUCUCCUUGUGACUUAGAAACGUCAAGGUCAGGUGUGCCUGGGUGGCUCAGUCAAUUGAGUGACUUCGGCUCAGGUCAUGAUCUCGCAUUUCGUGAGUUCGAGCCCCUUGUGGGGCUCUGUGCUGACAGCUUGGAGCCUGGAACCUACUUCAGAUUUUGUGUCUCCCUCUCUCUCUGUCCCUCCCCUGCUCACACUCUGUCUCUCUUUCUCUCAAAAAGAAAUCAAAACAUCUAAAAAAAAAAAAAAAAAAAAAAGAAACAUCAAGGUCAGUAUCCCAAAUGCCUGGGCUUUGAGGCUUUUGUUUCUGUGAGGCCAUUCAAAGGGGAUGUUUAACGUGAAGCUUUGUUCAGCUCUUGCCUUAACACGUUCUACUCGCCUAACGUCUUAAGAGUUUGACAUCCUUGCAUUUCAACUCAUCUGGCUGGAGACAAUGUACUCAAGGCAUGGGCAGUCUGCUCAUCAUCUCUCCUCUGGGCUUGUCCUCUCUCAGUGGUAGCCCUGGUUAUGGUGCCGGUUAGGGUCCGGCGUGCUACCGCUGGCAUUCGCGAUGCCCUGCUUCUGCCCUUUCACUUUUGUAGACGUGUGUGGUCUCUCAGACAUCGAGGAGCCAGCAAACAACCCCAGUGUGUCUGCCAGGAUGAGAAGGGCUGAGGACCUAGAGAGAGGGAGAUUCCUGCGUUGCCAAGGCAGCCGUGAACCUGAACAUGUGUGCAAAGACAGAGGAGAGCGCGGAAUUGGACCCUGGGAAGAAAGACACUCACACUGCAAAUACACAGUCACAGAAACGGAAACAUUCUGUUUACGCGUAAUGUGUGAUGGAGGAUGCUGAUCAACUAGCCCAUAUUUCCAACCACGGGACUGGCUGCCAGCAGGACCACCAUGGCACUUAUUACCAUGAAAAGGAGCCGAGAAAGCAGGAGAUUGGCAGGGAACACCAUGGAAGAAAGCAGAUGCGCGAGUCACGGUCAUCCCAGCCGGAUGGGGCACGAGGCCAUCCUUCCAUCUCCGUUGCCCCCAACACCGGCAGUCUUUGCGGUACUCCAAAGGUCUAAGACCGUGGGAGAAAAGGAACUAAGGAUCACAUGUCAACCCUUGGGGCACACUCGAAGGCUGCUCUCAAUACUACAGCCAAGUUAUAGGUGAUGAUUAUUUGUAAUCUGACAUCAGCAGAAUAAUCUUGCAGGAAAGAUGUGGAGAUGACAGAAGGAACGCAUGCCCUGUGCUUACCCCGGGAUUAUUCAUGAAGGCAGUCUGGAACAUAGGGGGAUAGGAGGACCCGGAGAGGCAUCAUCUAAAAUGUUCUCUGACCCACCAUGCUCAGAGUUGAGCCUGCGCUUCGGAAGGUAUAUUCGUAUGGGUAGUGUGGAGGUUGGAGACACGGCAUUUGCUUUCUGCUAGAGCACGAAAGAUUUGCAAAGUGGCAAAGGGAAGAGGAGAGGUAGAGCUUCAGAAACUUUCUUCCUCAGAGGUUCAUGCGCUGAAAAGCCAACUUAAUGCCACACAUCUGGAAAAGCUGAUCACCUACGUAUGGCUUCCUCUUAAGGAUUUAAAAAAAACUGGUGGGAAAUAAUUGAAGGCAUUGAUGGUGAAAACCUGCUGAUCUCUACAACGUAACAAUUUGUCUUUCCAGAAAGGAGAAAGGAAUUUUAUAACUUUUUAUUUUUAAUUUUAUAACUUUAAGGACUUCUCUGACUUAAAAAAAAAAUAGGAAUUUUGUAUCAGACGCAUUUGGGAAAUGCUGCAGUCUAUAUAUAGCCCACCUAAUGCCCAUGAGAAUAUGGAAAGAAAAGUUUUACUGUCAGAAAUCCAUAGAAAUGCAGGGAGGAGGCAAUAUCACCGCCCAGGGGAUGUGGCAACGUUUGAAGACAUUCUUGGCUAUUACAACCAGGAGGAUGGUUGGCAUCCAGUGGGUAGAAACAAGGAUGCUGUGUGACAUCUUACAAUGCACAGCCCAGCUCCCCAACAACAAAACUACCUGGUCCCACACGUCAACAGUGCUGAGACGGGGGUAUCCUGAUUCACUCCUAUUUACAACCCAUACGAUACUUUCUGCACCUCUGCCUUAGUCUCUAAUCAGAAAUACAAUCUGCUACUUCUCUGAUCAAAUGCAAAUGAGGAAUGAAUCCUACUUUUAAACAGUAUCCAAAAGAAAAACCAAAAUGUUCAACUCUGACACACCAAUUCCUAGAUACAGCCGGACUAUUACAUAUGUGCAAAUUCUAUCCUGGAUGAGGGAAAUACUGAUGCCGGAAACACGAAGUUAAAAGCAACUUAUAAGUACGAACUAUCAGUGCUACCAGAACAAUCCAAAGGUGUGAACAUGGCAGAGUAGCCCUUUUUAGAAAUGCCCAUCCUCGUGUGUGCCUUUGUUUCCAAAGUUGGUCACUCCUGCUAGAAUCGCCAUGCAGAAUGUCUACGCAUUACAUUGGACACAUUUGUAGACAUUUAUAACAAUUCUCCCUCCCGACUUCAAAAAAAGGAGGGACUCUACUCAUUGGUUUGCAAAUUCAGUCUGGUAAGACAACGUUGAGGCCACAUAUUUUCAGCUCAUCCUUGAAAGUGUUUGACUGACCUUGAUGGCUUCCCGCAAUCCCACAUAACAUAUAAUGGAAAAUUCAACUCUCUGGAGAGAACUGUUUUCUGAUAGCUAGCCAGUGACAUUCCUUGGGGCUUGCAUCUGUGACCUUGAGUUUGACUUUUGCUGAGGAGUCCUCCCUCUCCUCACCAGAUGUCUCUUUAGGGUUUCACAACCUUGGUACUAUGUCAACAUCUUGGGUGAGAUAAUUCUUUGCUGUUGGGGGCUAUGCUGUGCCUCGUAGGAUGCUUAUCAACAUCCCUGGCUUCCAUUUAUUAGAUACAAGUAGCACCCCCAACCCAUUUGAGACAGUCCUCAGACAUUGCCCAAUGUCCCCAGGGGGUAAAAAUCACCCCCAGUUGAAAACCACUGACUUAUCCUAAGGUUUUCAGAAAGUCCUUCAACAAAAUCUCAAAACGGAAUUGAUCGUAACUGAUUUAAUAGCCAUGGUGGGGCACAGAGAGCUUUUUCAUGGAAGGAAGUGGUAAAGGGCCUGCUGAACAUCAAUCCAAGAUCAAGGUCUUAGGCUAAAAGAGCUGGGAAGUCCUGGUCUCCAGAGAACGUGACAUGGACAACGUGAAACCAAUUCCCACACACAGCAAUGACUACAAUGAACAAACACGCUCUUCGGGACAGCACUUCCUCCCUGACAUCAUGUCCCUGGCCUGCCACCGCUAAGAGUUCCCGGAUAUUUCACAUAUGAUUAAAAAGACAACCAAUGAGAAGGAAAUAAUGAUUUCAACAAGAAAGGGCACAUUGUAAUGCAGAAAUAGGGCUCAGUGAAUAUGAAAAGCUGCCUUCUGGAGACUUCCUUCAAAGAGGGAAUGAUCUCUUGGAAUUCAAGCUUCUACAAGGUGACUACCUGGUGUUUUCCAUUUUUGUCUUCUCCUAAAAAGCAUCAAUCAAGCCUUGCCCUUUCGGCCCACUGAACACAUAAACACUCUUUUUCCCUAACUGAACUUACUGCCACGAUGAACUUGAACUCUAAGACGCACAAGAGGAGAGUUGUUUUAACAGCUGCUUUUACACUGAGGCUCUGGAGUUACUACCCUCAAGACAGCUGGUUCUGAUAAGCCUCUCUUCCCACUGUCCUGUUUUUUCUAAUGCCCAGCUGUCAGGGAACACCCACUGAAGUGUUCCCAAACAAAGGCACAAAACAGAAGAAAGGCAAGAGAAUGGUACUCAUUUGGAUGCAAGGGCAUCCUACAUAGGGACCCUUUACGAGCCGACACAGGGUUUUUCUCUCCAGCUUGCUUUUGUAAGUUUACGGAUUUCUCGGCUAGUUGCGGAUUAAUUGCUAAAGACGUUGCCUGAGGUUGCCCUGUCCAAUAUGGUAGCCACCAGCAACAGGUGGCUGUUUAGAUUUAGAGUAAUUAAAACGAAAUACAAUUUAAACUGCAGUAUCCUGUCGCACAUUUCAAGUGCUCCAUAUAAGCCACAUGCAGCUAGCAGAUUCCAUGCUGGAAAGCAAAAAGAGAGAACAUUUCCCUCAUUGUAGAGAGAUAUUGGACCGCACUGGCCAAGACAUACGCUCUUUCUAAGAGGGGAAAGGGGAUGCAGAUCUGGUAAGAAUGAUGGUUUUGUCCGUUGGGCCUGUAUCAAUUAUCUUCCAUACUACUUCCUGUGCACUCUUUUCUUGGCUGCCAAUGUUCCAUUUUCUACAUUUUUGGAAGGGGAGGUUGUGGUCUUUAAAACAAUCCAUGAAAAGGAUCCCACUUCAGAGGAAACAAAACAACAGGAAGCAAAGGUGGUGGUGUGGCAAUCCCCACGUUCUAGAUGUUUUUAUUGGUGAUCAUCAAAUAACAAAGGGGAAAAUGUAACUCGGCCAGGGCUUCCCACGUUUGGGUGGAGGCUGAGGACCCUGACAGAGAGAGAGGGUCCCUGCCUAUCCUGGCUCUCAGACCACGGACCUCACGCCUGGGUUAUAAUGUAGCAGUGAAUAGAAGAACACUCUCUGAUAAGACGUUUUUAAAGGUUCCGUGUCAUCAGCCAGGGAGCGUUUAUCACUGAAAAUGAUUGUGUAAUUGUACAUUUAAAAGGAAAGGUAGGAUGGAUAAUUUUUAUUUAAUGACCAAAGAUCAUUAGCAGCUAUGUGCUAAUGUACAAUUACACAAUACACACAGACACACACACACACACAGUAAGAGCAGUCUGUAUUUUUAUAUUGAUGGUUGUAAUGAGGCUGCCAGGAAAAAAAAUUGUCAGUUCUUUAAUUACACGGAUAAUUGGUUUGAUUCGUUUAACAACACAUUUUUUUCUUUCUCCGCUAGAAUAGCUCCGACUUGUUCACUGCUGUAUCCUUAGCACCUAGAACAGUGCCUGGCUCACAGCAGGCACAUAAAAAAGUAUUCGCUGAAAAAUAAAUGGUGACCCGCCUCCCCCUCCCCUUUUGAAAGGAAUGACCUAGAACUGUUUACUCCCUCUUCGUAAAAUCAAUCUACCUCAACUGCCUUUACUAAUCAGGAUUCCCUCCUAAACAAUUAGACGUGGACUCAAUCUCUCGCUCCCACUGUACAUUCCAAAGUUUUCAUUCCUUUCUGUUCCAGAAGGACAACUCGCUGACGUGAGUCAGUAAAAGGACCUACACUCCUCCUCAUGGUCUAAUAACUCUCCUACCCCUGUCUCCCCCAUCUUUGGACUUUUUAAAACUGUAAAAAUAGAAAUCUGUCAAGCUAUCAGGACAUAUCAGCUGUCAACAAUGGGGGGAGAAAAAGCUAGUUAAGUUUUAUCUCCAACGAGCUAGAUGCAGGCCAGUGUUUUGCUUGUUUUGAACACAUCUGAGAUGAGUGGGUUAUUGAGUCUUAAUCUACACUGAAUUUGGGUAUUUUGUAAUUUCAUAUGUUACAAUGUUUUGUUUAAAAAAGCCUUAUUUUUCACUACUUCGUAUGCAUAGAGCCAAAUAAUGUGUUGCUUACUUAUUUUUUAAAAGGCACCAGCAGUGUACUGAAGAUGUGUCCUCAUUGGUGAAAAAUCUUUUUCUUUAUAAAAAAUGCAUAUGCAUUUAAUGUGACAUUCCUGAUGACCAAAAUCUUCAUACUGUCCUCCUAAUCUGGCUGAUGUGAUAACUUUAAAAUGAAAGAGAGAUGUUCUGCCAUUCCUGAAACAUAACUAGCUGAAGUGUUUACAAGUGCUGGUUAUGGGAAUUUACCAAUAAUCGUAAUAAAUGUGGAUUAUUCUGUU